rnacentral:rRNA from 1 species
GACAGAGGUGCCGAGCGUUAGGCGGAAUCACUGGGCGUAAAGGGCGCGUAGGCGGGAUGGCAAGUCAGUCGUGAAAUCUCUCGGCUCAACCGAGAAACGUCGGCUGAUACUGCCGUUCUUGAGGGAUGCAGAGGAGACUGGAAUUCCCGGUGUAGCGGUGAAAUGUGUAGAGAUCGGGAGGAACACCGGUGGCGAAGGCGGGUCUCUGGGCAUUUCCUGACGCUGAGGCGCGAAAGCGUGGGGAGCAAACGGG